rnacentral:rRNA from 1 species
UACAGAGGGUGCAAGCGUUGUUCGGAAUUAUUGGGCGUAAAGCGCGUGUAGGCGGCUUUGCAAGUCGGGUGUGAAAGCCCUCAGCUCAACUGAGGAAGUGCGCCCGAAACUGCAGAGCUUGAGUACCGGAGAGGAUGGCGGAAUUCCCCAAGUAGAGGCGAAAUUCGUAGAUAUGGGGAGGAACACCGGUGGCGAAGGCGGCCAUCUGGACGGUCACUGACGCUGAGACGCGAAAGCGUGGGUAGCAAACAGG